GUCUAUGGCCAUACCACCUUGAAUGAGCCCGAUCUCAUCUGAUCUCGGAAGCUAAGCAGGGUCGGGCCUUGGUUAGUACUUGGAUGGGAGACCACCUGGGAAUACCAGUAGCUGUAGGCU
rnacentral:rRNA from 1 species